GAGGGCGUAGCUCAGGAGGCAGAGCAGCGGCCUUUUAAGCCGUUGGUCGUGGGUUCGAAUCCCGCCGCCCUCACGA
rnacentral:tRNA from 1 species